rnacentral:rRNA from 1 species
GCAAGUCGAGCGCGAAAGUACUUUGGUGUGAGUAGAGCGGCGGACGGGUGAGUAACGCGUAAGAAUCUACCUAGUAGUGGGGGACAACUCGAGGAAACUCGAGCUAAUACCGCAUACGCCCUACGGGGGAAAGCGGGGAACUUCGGGCCUCGCGCUAUUAGAUGAGCUUGCGUUGGAUUAGCUAGUUGGUGAGGUAAUGGCUCACCAAGGCUACGAUCCAUAGCUGGUCUGAGAGGAUGAUC